UUGGAGUGGGGAGUCGAGCGUCUUGAUAGGUCGAUUGGGAGAAGAAUAUUACGCGCAAGCGCAAAGACUUCAACGGUUUCAGAGUAUCUCGGGGAGUUGUUCGUCUAAUCUCGCGUGAGUCGCACGUAUUUCCUUGUGCGUUCUUUCGAAGGAAGCUUUUGUUUUUUUUCCUGGACCAUAAACGCAGCUUCUAAUACUUAUAUCAACGGAAAAUGCAUAUCACAAUAAUCCGUUGUUUGUUCUUCACGCUCACAGGCGCCAGUAAUAACGCGAGAGAGAAAAUGCGCGAGAAUCGAACGACACAUCAUCGACGCUAAAAAGAAAAGCAGGUCUACGGGUUGGAAUUCUUUAUAUUUCGCCAGAUCUCGGAAUUCCAAGCGCCGUGAGUGUGUCGAUCUAACAAUACACGGAGGUUCUACGAUUCCGUGAAGAAUGGCAAGAAUAAAAAGGAGUACAAUACAGAACGGCCACUACGGGAUAACAACAAAGAAAAGAAGGCUUUUGUUCCUCGACUUUUUCCCGUUCCCCUCUUGCCCCACCGUGAUUCCGCCUUGGGUCUAACACCGAAUCGAAUAAAAAAUGUUGCCUACUACUACGAGCACGUUAGUACAGUCAGAAAUUUUUCUAAGUCAUUGAAAUCUUCUAAUCGUUACAAAAUAAAUGCAAAUUAUUUAAAUUAUUCCUUAGCCAUUUCGAAUUUAUUCUAUCGCAAUUCUAAUAACGCUGCUAGUUUCAUAUCAAACGUAUUAAAUGUACGAAUAGUUACAAUGCCAGAAUAAACGAAACAGCGUGGUUGAACAUCGUGCAUAA